UUAAAUUUUAUUUAUUUAUUUAAUUUAAUUUAAUUAAUUAAUUUAAUAAAAAUAAUUUUAAUAAAAUAAGUUUAAGUAUUUUUUAAAGAAAAAAUAAUUUUAAUUAUAGUUUAUUUGUAUUGUAAAAGAAAAUUGAAAUAUUAUGAAAAAUUUUUAUUAAAAAAGAAAAUUUAAUUAAUUGUACCUUGUGUAUCAGGGUUUAUUAAAUAAAAAUUUAUUAUAAUAAAUUUUUUCGAAUUUUAAAGAUUUAAUUAUAUAAAAAAGUUACUGUGGAAUAAUUAUUUUUAAUAUAUAAUUAGAAAUGAAAUGUUAAUCGUUUUAAAAUAUAUCUAGUUUUUUAAGAAAUAAAUUUAAUUUAGAUUUGUAAAUUAAAAGUAUUAUUUUAUUAAUAUUUUUAUUUGGCAAAAUUAAUAUUUUUAGGGAUAAGCUUAAAAAUAAAUUUUUAAAUUUUUAUAAGAUAGUUAAUAAAUGUAAGCUUAAAAAUAGUUAUCAUUAAAAAUUUUGUUAUAAUUUAUUUUAAAUUUUUUAUUAUUUAUUUUAAAUUAAAUUAUUUAUUAAAAUAUAAAUUUUAAUAAAUUAAAAUUUAUUAAUUAUGAUAAAAUUAGUAUAUAGAAUUUAUAAUAAUUAUUUAAAAUGAAAGGUUUAAAUAAGGAAUUCGGCAAAUUAUAUAUUCACCUGUUUAUCAAAAACAUGUCUUUUUGAAUUUAAUUUAAAGUCUAACCUGCCCACUGAUAAAUAUUAAAGGGCCGCAGUAUUUUGACUGUGCAAAGGUAGCAUAAUCAAUAGUUUUUUAAUUGAAAGCUUGUAUGAAUGGUUGAAUGAGAUAUAUACUGUCUUUUUUAAAUUUUUUUAGAAUUUUAUUUUUUAAUUAAAAAGUUAAAAUAAAAUUAAAAGACGAGAAGACCCUAUAGAUCUUUAUUUUUAUUUAGAUAAAAAUUAAAAAGAAUUAUUAAAUUUUUAUUUAAAUAAAAAUUUUACUGGGGUGGUAUUAAAAUUUAAUUAACUUUUAUAAAAAAAUUACAUUAAUUUAUGAAUAUUUGAUCCAAUUAUAUUGAUUAAAAAAUUAAGUUACCUUAGGGAUAACAGCGUAAUUUUUUUUUAGAGUUCAUAUCGACAAAAAAGAUUGCGACCUCGAUGUUGGAUUAAGAGUUAUUUUAGGUGUAGAAGUUUAAAGUUUAAGUCUGUUCGACCUUUGGAUUCUUACAUGAUCUGAGUUCAAACCGGUGUAAGCCAGGUUGGUUUCUAUCUUUAAUAAAAUUAUUAUAUUAUAGUACGAAAGGACCUAAUAUAAAAAAUAUAAAUUUUAAAAUUAUGAAUUAUAAUAAUAUUUAAUAA
rnacentral:rRNA from 1 species